rnacentral:rRNA from 2 species
CAGCCGCCGCGGUAACACCAGCCCCUAGAGUAGUGAGGAUGAUUAUUUGGCCUAAAGCGUCCGUAGCCGGCCGAGCAAGUCUUCCGUUAAAUCCAGCGUCUCAAGCGUUGGACUGCGGGAGAUACUACAUGGCUAGAGAGUGGGAGAGGUCAGCGGUAUUCUGGGGGUAGGGGCGAAAUCCUUUGAUCCCCGGAGGACCACCAGUGGCGAAGGCUGCUGACUAGAACACGUCUGACGGUCAGGGACGAAAGCUGGGGUAGCGAACCGGAUUAGAUACCCGGGUAGUCCCAGCCGUAAACGAUGCAUGCUAGGUGUUGGGUUGGCCACGAGCCACCCCAGUGCCGCAGGGAAGCCGUUAAGCAUGCCGCCUGGGAAGUACGAUCGCAAGAUUGAAACUUAAAGGAAUUGGCGGGGGUGCAC